UACGGAGGGGGCUAGCGUUGUUCGGAAUUACUGGGCGUAAAGCGCACGUAGGCGGAUUGGAAAGUUGGGGGUGAAAUCCCGGGGCUCAACCCCGGAACUGGCUUCAAAACUCCCAGUCUGGAGGUCGAGAGAGGUGAGUGGAAUUCCGAGUGUAGAGGUGAAAUUCGUAGAUAUUCGGAGGAACACCAGUGGCGAAGGCGGCUCACUGGCUCGAUACUGACGCUGAGGUGCGAAAGCGUGGGGAGCAAACAGG
rnacentral:rRNA from 1 species